rnacentral:rRNA from 1 species
GAGCGGAGAAUGUGACUCGUAAA